AAUAUUGGACAAUGGGCGAAAGCCUGAUCCAGCCAUGCCGCGUGUGUGAAGAAGGUCUUCGGAUUGUAAAGCACUUUACGUUGGGAGGAAGGGCAGUAAGUUAAUACCUUGCUGUUUUGACGUUACCGACAGAAUAAGCACCGGCUAACUUCGUCCCAGCAGCCGCGGUAAGACGAAGGGUGCAAGCGUUAAUAGGCAUUACUUGGCGUAAAGCGCGCGUAGGAGGUUUGGUAAGUUUGAAGUGAAAGCCCCGGGCUCAACCUGGGAACUGCUUUCAUAACUGCUGAGCUAGAGUACGGUAGAGGGUAGUGGAAUUUCCUGUGUAGCGGUGAAAUGCGUAGAUAUAGGAAGGAACACCAGUGGCGAAGGCGACUACCUGGACUGAUACUGACACUGAGGUGCGAAAGCGUGGGGAGCAAAC
rnacentral:rRNA from 1 species